GGACACGUAGCCGAAGAGAGCGGCCCAGCUACGCUCUGGGACGCAGGCGGGGAGAAGGGGCUAGAUGCCGAACGGGACGGCUGGAUCGGCGGCAACCCAGUUCAGCUGCCGCGGCCACGACCCACGACCCGAAGCCGCAGCUACAGGCUGACGGCGCCGCUUCCCGGAUUCCCUGCGGCUACGAUCCGCAGCUUGCGGAGCUGACCGGACGUUCCAGGCGCCUCCACCCUGCUGAACACCUGACCAGGCCGACCGUGUGGACCGAGCGUCGGGCACAGCGACGCAGUCGAUUCUACGACGCAUCGGCGGGCCCAACGACGUGUCGUCGGAAGCAGCGACGACGAGGUGACGUGGCCACGUCGAAUGUGUUCAUUCCGCUGCCCUCAAGAGUGUGCACCCUAAAGUACGCACUUUGACAUGUUUGGUGUGCACUGAACGCUUUUUAUUUUUUUGCACCGUGACAUCAUUUGGGCGUGUGUUGAACGCACCGUGUGCACAGCAUUUGUAGUAUGAAGCUGUCUCAGCUUUACCUUGACCUCGUCUCGCGAUAUAAGUUCUUUAUGUACUGGAGAAGAACGCGCAGAACUGCUUCGAGAAAGAGCACGACGACGAGUUGGUCGAAGCGUUGUGCCUGCAUUGUUCGAGCUGCGCGACCCCUCGCUGUAGUGUUCAACUCUCUGGGGGUUUCAUUAAUUAAACCAACACGCCUAUCGGUGGAGAUGCCGUGCCCUUUACAAGCCUGGAACUCCGCAGCCGGACGCUCCCUCCCGUUUCUGCCAUGCCGUCGCCGAUCCUCCCCAGGGCUGCCGUCUGCUUUGCGCCAGCGAGUUUCUGCUGCGUUCAGCGCCAUGGACAACCAUAAUGAGGCUCUCGUCAUACAACAAAUGACAUGACAGCUAAACUCACUGUCUUUCUCGUCGCCAAUCUCUGGUUAUGAAUUAGUUUUUGCAAAGCUGCUUCUCUUAUGCUGUAAUCACGUGAGCACUCUGUGUUUCACCAGGGGUUAGAAGACCCACAUUUAGUGGAGUGCACAGUGAAUCGAGACCUUGUUACAGAAUCUUUUAAAACAAAAAAUAAAUUAGUGGUCUUUUCUUCAUUAUCCCAUA